rnacentral:rRNA from 1 species
UAAUACCAGCUCCCCGAGUGGUGGGGAUUUUUAUUGGGCCUAAAGCGUUCGUAGCUUGCUCAGCAAGUCCUCCGUUAAAUCCAACGAUCUAAUCGUUGGGCUGCGGGGGAUACUGCAGGGCUAGGGGGCGGGAGAAGUCGACUGUACUCUUGGGGUAGGGGUGAAAUCCUAUAAUCCUAGGAGGACAACCAGUGGCGAAGGCGGUCGGCUAGAACGCGCCCGACGGUGAGGGACGAAAGCUGGGGGAGCGAUCCGGAUUAGAUACCCGGGUAGUCCCAGCUGUAAACGAUGCAGGCUAGGUGUUGGCGUGACUACGGGUCACGCUAGUGCCGCAGGGAAGCCGUUAAGCCUGCCGCCUGGGAAGUACGGUCGCAAGACUG